AUGGAAGUGAAGAUGUUCUGCAGUUUUAUAUUAUUGUCUCUCGCUACAAGAUGUUGGAGUCAAACUCUGAUACAGUCUGAAGCAGUGAUCAUUACACCUGGAGGAUCUCAUACUCUCACCUGUACAUGGUCUGGUAUAGACUUUGAUGGCAGCUGGAUGGGCUGGAUUAGACAGUCUGCUGGAAAAGGUUUAGAAUGGGUGGCAACAAUUUCUCACACCAGUAAUACCAAGCGCUACUCUCAGUCAGUUCAGGGAAGAUUCACCGUCUCCAGAGAUAACAGUAAGGAUCAGGUGUAUCUGCAGAUGAGCAGCCUGAAGACUGAAGACACAGCUGUGUAUUACUGCGCCCGAGAGACACAGUGA